rnacentral:rRNA from 1 species
AGAGUUUGAUCCUGGCUCAGAAUCAACGCUGGCGGCGUGCCUAACACAUGCAAGUCGAACGCGGUUAGUAGCAAUACUAACUGAGUGGCGAACGGGUGAGUAACACGUGGGUGACCUACCUUCGAGUGGGGGAUAACGUCCCGAAAGGGACGCUAAUACCGCAUAACAUCCUGUCCUUGAACGGAUGGAGAUCAAAGCCGGGGAUCGCAAGACCUGGCGCUUGAAGAGGGGCCCGCGUCUGAUUAGCUAGUUGGGUGAGGUAACGGGCCCACCAAGGCGACGAUCAGUAUCCGGCCUGAGAGGGGCGGGACGGACACACUGGGGACUUGAGACACGGCCCAGACUCCUACGGGGAGGCAGCAGUGGGGGAAUUGUUCACAAUGGGCGCAAGCCCUGAUGACCCAACGCCCGCGUGGAGGAUGAAAGGUCUUCCGGAUUGUAAACUCCUGGUUGCUCGGGGACGAAAAGCCUCCACCUAACACGUCGAGGUCCUGACGGUACCGAGUGAAGGAAACCCCCGGCUAACUCCUGUGCCCGCAGCCCCCGGUAAUACAGAGGGGGCCAGCGUUGUUCGGAAAUUACUGGGGCGUAAAGGGCGCCGUAGGCGGGCCCGCUAAGUCUCAACGUGAAAUCCCCCGAGCUUCAACUCCGGGAACUGCGUUCCGAAACUGGUGGGGCUUUGAAUCCCGGAGAGGGGAUGGCGGGAAUUUCAGGGUGGUGCGGGUGAAAUUGCGUAAGAUUAUCUUGUAGGGAACAACCGGGUGGGCGAAGGCGGCAUCCCUGGACCGGGCAUUUGACGCUUGAGCAGCGAAAAGCUACGGGAGCCAAACCGGAAUAGAUCCCCCCGGGUAGUCCCUAGCCCAUAAACGAUGAUUGCCUGGUGUGGCGGGUAUCGAUCCCCUGCCGUGCCGAAAGCUAACGCAUUAAAGCAUUCCGCGUGGGGAGUACGGUCGCAAGGGCUGAAAUCUCAAAAGGAAUGGACGGGGGCCCGCACAAGCGGUGGAGCAUGUGGUUUAUUCGACGCACCGCGAAGACCUUUACCCCAGGCUUGAACUGCAGAGGACACUCUACGAAAGUAGACUUCCGCAAGGACCUCUGUAGAGGUGCUGCAUGGCUGUCGUCAGCUCGUGUCGUGAGAUGUGGGGUUAAGUCCCGCAACGAGCGCACCCUUUGUCUUCUGUGGCCAUCAGGUUAAGCUGGCCAUUCUGAAGAGACUGCCGGUGACAAACCGGAGGAAGGUGGGGAUGACGUCAAGUCAGCAUGGCCUUUAUGUCUGGGGCCACACACGUGCUACAAUGGCAGGUACAAACCGUCGCGAGACCGCAAGGUGGAGCUAAUCGGAUAAAGCCUGUCUCAGUUCGGAUUGUCGGCUGCAACUCGCCGGCAUGAAGUUGGAAUCGCUAGUAAUCGCGGAUCAGCACGCCGCGGUGAAUACGUUCCCGGGCCUUGUACACACCGCCCGUCACAUCACGAAAGCUGGCUGUACUAGAAGUAGCAGCGCUAACCCGCAAGGGAGGCAUGUUCCUAAGGUAUGGUCAGUGAUUGGGGUGAAGUCGUAACAAGGUAACC